UACGUAGGGGGCAAGCGUUGUCCGGAUUUAUUGGGCGUAAAGAGCUCGUAGGUGGUUCGGUAAGUCGGAUGUGAAAUCUCCAGGCUCAACCUGGAGGGGUCAUUCGAUACUGCCGUGACUAGAGGUCGGUAGGGGAGUGUGGAAUUCCUGGUGGAGCGGUGAAAUGCGCAGAUAUCAGGAGGAACACCAAUGGCGAAGGCAGCUCGCUGGGACGGUACUGACGCUGAGACGCGAAAGCGUGGGGAGCAAACAGG
rnacentral:rRNA from 1 species